rnacentral:rRNA from 1 species
ACGCUGGCGGCAGGCUUAACACAUGCAAGUCGAACGGUAACAGGGAUUAGCUUGCUAAUCUGCUGACGAGUGGCGGACGGGUGAGUAAUGCUUGGGAAUCUGGCUUAUGGAGGGGGAUAACUACGGGAAACUGUAGCUAAUACCGCGUAAAAUCUUCGGAUUAAAGGGUGGGACUUUCGAGCCACCUGCCAUAAGAUGAGCCCAAGUGGGAUUAGGUAGUUGGUUAGGUAAAGGCUGACCAAGCCGACGAUCUCUAGCUGGUCUGAGAGGAUGACCAGCCACACUGGAACUGAGACACGGUCCAGACUCCUACGGGAGGCAGCAGUGGGGAAUAUUGCACAAUGGGGGGAACCCUGAUGCAGCCAUGCCGCGUGAAUGAAGAAGGCCUUCGGGUUGUAAAGUUCUUUCGGUGACGAGGAAGGUUGGUAGGUUAAUAGCCUAUCAAAUUGACGUUAAUCACAGAAGAAGCACCGGCUAACUCCGUGCCAGCAGCCGCGGUAAUACGGGGGGUGCGAGCGUUAAUCGGAAUAACUGGGCGUAAGGGGCACGCAGGCGGUGACUUAAGUGAGAUGUGAAAGCCCCGAGCUUAACUUGGGAAUUGCAUUUCAUACUGGGUCGCUAGAGUACUUUAGGGAGGGGUAGAAUUCCACGUGUAGCGGUGAAAUGCGUAGAGAUGUGGAGGAAUACCGAAGGCGAAGGCAGCCCCUUGGGAAUGUACUGACGCUCAUGUGCGAAAGCGUGGGGAGCAAACAGGAUUAGAUACCCUGGUAGUCCACGCUGUAAACGAUGUCGAUUUGGGGAUUGGGCUUUGAGCUUGGUGCCCGUAGCUAACGUGAUAAAUCGACCGCCUGGGGAGUACGGCCGCAAGGUUAAAACUCAAAUGAAUUGACGGGGGCCCGCACAAGCGG